rnacentral:rRNA from 1 species
GUGGGGAAUAUUGGACAAUGGGCGAAAGCCUGAUCCAGCCAUGCCGCGUGUGUGAAGAAGGUCUUCGGAUUGUAAAGCACUUUAAGUUGGGAGGAAGGGCAGUAAGUUAAUACCUUGCUGUUUUGACGUUACCAACAGAAUAAGCACAGGCUAACUUCGUGCCAGCAGCCGCGGUAAUACGAAGGGUGCAAGCGUUAAUCGGAAUUACUGGGCGUAAAGCUCGCGUAGGUGGUUUUGUAAGUUGGAGGUGAAAUCCCCGGGCUCAACCUGGGAACUGCCUCCAAAACUGCAUGACUAGAGUACGGUAGAGGGUAGUGGAAUUUCCUGUGUAGCGGUGAAAUGCGUAGAUAUAGGAAGGAACACCAGUGGCGAAGGCGACUACCUGGACUGAUACUGACACUGAGGUGCGAAAGCGUGGGGAGCAAACAGGAUUAGAAACCCGUGUAGUCC